rnacentral:rRNA from 1 species
UAUCAGAAGUGCGAAUGCUGACAUGAGUAACGAUAAUGCGGGUGAAAAACCCGCACGCCGGAAGACCAAGGGUUCCUAUCCCAUGUUAAUCAGGGUAGGGUGAGUCGACCCCUAAGGCGAGGCUGAAGAGCGUAGUCGAUGGGAAACGGGUUAAUAUUCCCGUACUUGGUAUAAAUGCGAUGGGGGGACGGAGCAGGCUAGGCAAGCAUGGCGUUGGUUGUCCAUGUGAAAGGCUGUAGGCUGGUGACUUAGGAAAAUCCGGGUCGCUAAGGCUGAGAGUCGAGACGAGCUACUACGGUAGUGAAGUUGUUGAUGCCCUACUUCCAGGAAAAGCCUCUAAGCUUCAGUUUAUAUCGAAUCGUACCCUAAACCGACACAGGUGGUCAGGUAGAGAAUACUAAGGCGCUUGAGAGAACUCGGGUGAAGGAACUAGGCAAAAUUGUACCGUAACUUCGGGAGAAGGUACGCUCUUGUUUGUGAAGGACUUGCUCCAUAAGCAGACGAGAGCCGCAGUGACCAGGUGGCUGGGACUGUUUAUUAAAAACACAGCACUGUGCAAAAUCGUAAGAUGACGUAUACGGUGUGACACCUGCCCGGUGCCGGAAGGUUAAUUGAUGGGGUUAGCUUAGGCGAAGCUCUUGAUCGAAGCCCCGGUAAACGGCGGCCGUAACUAUAACGGUCCUAAGGUAGCGAAAUUCCUUGUCGGGUAAGUUCCGACCUGCACGAAUGGUGUAACCAUGGCCACGCUGUCUCCACCCGAGACUCAGUGAAAUUGAAAUCGCAGUGAAGAUGCUGUGUACCCGCGGCUAGACGGAAAGACCCCGUGAACCUUUACUACAGCUUGGCACUGAACAUUGACCCUACAUGUGUAGGAUAGGUGGGAGGCUUUGAAGCACAGUCGCUAGAUUGUGUGGAGCCGUCCUUGAAAUACCACCCUUGUAGUGUUGAUGUUCUAACUUAGGUCCCUGAUCGGGAUUGAGGACAGUGCCUGGUGGGUAGUUUGACUGGGGCGGUCUCCUCCCAAAGAGUAACGGAGGAGCACGAAGGUUGGCUAAGUACGGUCGGACAUCGUACGGUUAGUGUAAUGGUAGAAGCCAGCUUAACUGCGAGACAGACACGUCGAGCAGGUACGAAAGUAGGUCAUAGUGAUCCGGUGGUUCUGAAUGGAAGGGCCAUCGCUCAACGGAUAAAAGGUACUCCGGGGAUAACAGGCUGAUACCGCCCAAGAGUUCAUAUCGACGGCGGUGUUUGGCACCUCGAUGUCGGCUCAUCACAUCCUGGGGCUGAAGUCGGUCCCAAGGGUAUGGCUGUUCGCCAUUUAAAGUGGUACGCGAGCUGGGUUUAGAACGUCGUGAGACAGUUCGGUCCCUAUCUGCCGUGGGCGUUUGAGAAUUGAGAGGGGCUGCUCCUAGUACGAGAGGACCGGAGUGGACGAACCGCUGGUGUUCGGGUUGUUAUGCCAAUAGCAUUGCCCGGUAGCUACGUUCGGAAUCGAUAACCGCUGAAAGCAUCUAAGCGGGAAGCGAGCCUCGAGAUGAGUUCUCACUUUAACUUUAAGUUAACUGAAGGGCCGUUGAAGACUACAACGUUGAUAGGCGAGAUGUGGAAGUGCUGUGAGGCAUUGAGCUAACUCGUACUAAUUACCCGUGAGGCUUAACCAU